CCAUGCUGAUCCGCUGAGCUGGGUGGCUGGAAACCCCCUCUCUGCUGCCGGUGCCGUGUUGCACUCCGAGAGCGACGCUUCCCAGCCCAGAGAAAUGGUGCAAAUGAGCUUUGCUGGCCACUCCGCAAUGAGCAAGCGCUGUUUGAGAUGUUGGAGGAGAAUUGAAUCAAGCUGUUGGUAAAAAGAGCUCUAGUUCCUUCUUGCUUUCAAAGAACAUUUGCUGCUGGAUUUGCUGUCUGUAGGCAGAGCACAAGGUUUAAACCUCUGAGCUCCAGGGAAGAGAAAAGGCUGCCGAGCUCAUAUGAAAGGGAGUGCAAGCACUGACCUGCGUGUCUGGGUGCCUGCGCUGGAUUUCUGAUUGCUCUGAGCAGCAAGGACUGAGUGCAUGAGAUCAUGGUGUCCCCACGGACUGCCGGACAAUGGCAACCUCUCCAGCAGGAAAAACCUGGUCCUCCCACACCACAGCAGGACGGGUCGCCAGGACCCUGUUUGGUCGCCGAUGUGCACGGCACUGCGCGGGUUGGUGCCUGCACCCCACUUUGCGUGGCCGUCGGAGCUCCUGCCAGGCAGGAGGGAUCGAGGAGGCUGAGAGCAACCUGGGCACACGAUUUGUGCCACGUACGUCCAUGCAGGCAAAGGGGCUGAUUCUGAUGCUUUGCACCAGCAUUUUAAGCCGUAUGCCAUCUUAAACCUGAUGCAUUAAAAACCUAGGGAGAAGCUGUCUGCGAGGCAGCGCAAUGGACUGGUCAGGAGGGGAACCCAGUUAUUCCCACUAGGAAAGUGUCUCCGAGAAGCUGCUCUGCAGCUCGGGGCCGAGAAGCCGUGGGUGGGAAGUGCGGGGCUGGCAGCGCUCUGGGGCAGCCGCCUCCAUCGGCAUUUCAGGCUUCAGCUUACCCAUGCUGUUGGGCCAGCCUCUGUAGGCUGCGGGCUGUCUCUUGGGGUUAGUUGAAAACAUUUUGAUAAGUGAAGCAGGGGGGCAAUUAAAAGCUUGUGCUAAUUCUCCCUCGUUCCCCUUGCUGCGCAAGACUUGCAGAGAAGCAACCCCAGGGAAAGCUUUUGGCCACACGAAUGUGCAUCUGGUGUUUGCAAAGUCCCUCCUGCAGCCAAAGGGCCAUGUCCCUUCCUGGCAUAAAUCCCUAAUUCCUUGUUGCAACAGUGGUCCUCUUUGGAUUAUAACUGGAGUUGUACUCCUUUUUCUUUGGGUUUUUUUUAGAUACAACAAAAAUCUUGCUUUUGUGAAUUCACUUUCAUUUUGCAUCAUCAAAACUACCACAUUCCUUCUCUUCCCUGUCCCAGCGUAACAGGUUUUGAAGGUUUAAAGCACAAAACCCGUAUCACAGCUGAACUCGGCGGACGGGAGUUUGCAUGUUGGCGCAUGAGCUUUCCACUUUUAACCCAGACCUCCGGACACCAAUGUCACCAAGGCCAGGGCAGUGGUGGUGGCUUGUCUGGGACACUUUGCCGGGCGGGGGUGGCUCUGCGCUCUCUAGCUGUUUGCAGUGUGCCGCUGUGUUUGUGCAUAUAAUGCAACAGGGAUUUCAAAGAAUUAUAAGUGUACAAAACCAGAACAGGAUAGGCUAAUCAUUAGCAAGAUUAUUACUAACAAAUCAAAAUAUUUAGUUGUAAUAUGCUUUAAAAUAGAAGAUACAGCCAUUACCAGGUAGAUGGCAUUAACUUUCUCCUAGCCACUCAUUUCCACACUCGGCCUGAGUUGUGGUGUUAGUGACCAUGACCGUGACAAGGGUUGCCAAAACGCCCACCAAGUGUGACUGUGCAGGCACAUGAGUGCAUGAGAAACCUGGGAAGUGUUCAAGCAUUAAUAAACCCCAAAUAUAUACCUAUACCAUUACGACAGGUAAAAACUCAUUACACCCUGUCUCCAUCAUUUGGAUUUUGAUGCGUUCGUUCCUACCAGCGGAGCGCGUUAGAGCUUGGUGCGUGCGUGCGCUGGUUAGUGCGGAGUGAGACACGGACGUGCUGCAAUGUGGGUUUGGUGUGAAAAGCCAUGCAAAUGGAAAAAUUACCUUGUCCUUUACAACAUAAUGACCGCUUUUCUUGCUUUCCAACGCAGGACAGCUAAAUAUUUGUUGUCUUAGUAUCAUCUUGACAACGAAUAAUGUGAUCUAGUUUUAUUCGGUAUGUUGCCAUGCUCUUAAGCCUCACGGCGUUACGCCUCCACUGAGUAACAAAGAGACAUUUUAAUGCUGCGUAUAAAGGUCCGGGGAGGUUAGACCCCCUCAAACCUCACAGUCACUGUCUCUUGGCUAUAUGGAUGUGUCCUCAGUGUCUAUACCCAUAAAAAAGUGGCUCAUGGUGCUUUUGGGGGGCAGUGGGAGGUUGGUCUGCAGUAGCUAUGGCAUGAGACCUCCCUGGGUUGGGUUUCCCAGCCUACGCUGUGCGGAUACUUCCCUGGACCCCCCAGCACUGAAAGCACUGUGGUUGGGAAUGUCACCUUCCUCUCCAGCACUAUUGCAAGCUUAAAUAUUGAAAUAGUGCUUUUGGGUUCCCAGCAGAAAAUGCUGGGGGAGCAGAGAUCUCGUCCUGUCAGACCAGGUUAGCUCUACCAAAUAUCACUCGUUACAAGAUCUUCUCUGGGUUUCUACAGUGCUUUCUGUGGCUAUCAGUCCUUGGGAGGAAUAUCUUCAGAUUUAUAAUGAUUUGAAAGAAAUCAGGACCUGCUGCUCUGCCGGGUAUGAAAUACCAGAGUUCAGUUCCCAAAUUCUGCUGACUCAGCUGCAAAGUUAUGCUCUGAGAAGCCGGUACAUUCCUAAUGCAGCUUGCCAGGGAUCAGCACAGUUCAAUCCAUUAGCUAUUAACUAUUGCUCUUAACAAGGACCAGUGUCAAGGACGUGCUAUGGGAUCAAAGAAAUAUGAAGAUUUAGUUGCCACAUUUGUAGUUCUAACCUAGGAGUCCUGCUGUUUUGUGGAAUGCUUACUGUUAUUCAAAUACAUGUGAAAUAAUAACGUACAGAAUGGAGUAAAUUUUUUCCCCCUCCAAUCCUUUCAGAGAAAGACUCACUAACACCAUGAGUAAGCUGCACAGAUGCAAACUGUUGUAGGCACAGGCAGUGCUGAGGAGCGCUGGCACAUGUGCUAGGAGUGAUUUAUGGAGCUUCUGAAGACUUGUGUGCCUAGAAGAAGGGCACAGCAACAGCCUUCUUGCUCCACCGCCCUGGGGCUAUCUACAUCUUCACGCUGCCCAUCAAGAUCACUGCAUAGAUGGCCUUACUAAAGGAAAGAUUAAAAAUCAGCUGCAGAGAAGAAAACAUAAACAUCAUAAGCCUCAUCCUGUGCUUCUGACCUUCUUUCAAAAGAAAUCGGUCCCCCCACCAGCAAGACCUGUGCACCUAUUCAUUGCUGUUUGAGAACUGCUGUGUCCCUUCGCUCAGGUGUGAGGAGGAGUCCUUAAAAGUGUCCCAAGACUUGUAUUCUUCUCCUUCCCCAUCUCAAAGCAGUAGUACAAAAGAUUUCACAUUUCAGAAUGACAAUGAAGAAG